ACAUAGGAGGCUGUUUUGUAU
rnacentral:miRNA from 1 species